rnacentral:rRNA from 1 species
CCUACGGGUGGCUGCAGUGGGGAAUCUUGCGCAAUGGGCGAAAGCCUGACGCAGCAACGCCGCGUGCGGGAUGACGGCCUUCGUGGUUGUAAACCGCUUUCAGCAGGGACGAAAAUGACGGUACCUGCAGAAGAAGCCCCGGCUAACUACGUGCCAGCAGCCGCGGUAAUACGUAGGGGGCAAGCGUUGUCCGGAUUCAUUGGGCGUAAAGAGCUCGUAGGCGGUUCAGUAAGUCAGGUGUGAAAGCUCCGAGCUCAACUCGGAGAGGCCACCUGAUACUGCUGUGACUUGAGUCCAGUAGAGGAGCGUGGAACUCCUGGUGUAGCGGUGGAAUGCGCAGAUAUCAGGAAGAACACCUGCAGCGAAGGCGGCGCUCUGGGCUGGUACUGACGCUGAGGAGCGAAAGCAUGGGUAGCAAACAGGCUUAGAUACCCUGGUAGUC